rnacentral:lncRNA from 1 species
CAAAUGAUCCCGGAUCACUGCAUUUGAACCCCGACAUCAAAAUAAUGAACCCCAUUCUCCAUUUGAACCCCAGUCGCCUGACGAUAACUUGCGAUCGCCAUUGUGAACCCCGUUUUCCAGAAAACACCUCGUGUCUCCCUUUCUCCAUUUGAACCCCGCUCUCCAGAAAAUGCCUCAACAUUUCCCUUCCUCCGUUUGAACCCCGCUCUCCGCUUUCUUGUGAUAAUU